AUUGAACUCUGGAGGCAGGCCUACCACAUGCAAGUCGAGCGAGCGCCGGACGGGUGCGUAAUGUAUGGGGACUGCCCGAUAGAGGGGGAUAAGUACCGGACACGGUAGCUAAUACCGCAUACUAUCGGAUAACCCAUAGGGGAUUAGCUAGUAGGUGAGGUAAUGGCUCACCUAGGCGACGAUCCCUAGCUGGUCUGAGAGGAUGAUCAGCCACACUGGGACUGAGACACGGCCCAGACUCCUACGGAGGCAGCAGGGGGGAAUAUUGCACAAUGGGCGCAAGCCGGAUGCAGCCAUGCCGCGUGUAUGAAGAAGGCCCUAGGGUUGUAAAGUACUUUCAGUCGGGAGGCGUUACCGACAGAAGAAGCACCGGCGAACUCCGUGCCAGCAGCCGCGGUAAUAC
rnacentral:rRNA from 1 species